AUGCAGGCCACCGUUGCUUUGUCGGCCGUGCUGCCUGUCGCCGUAAGGGGCAGGCCGGCGGCGAGGAGGAGGAGCGCCACCGUUGCUGGCGGCGGCAGAAGGACCGUGGGUGCCGGCGUCCGGGCAUCGGCGGCGGCGGCGCCGGAGGCGGACUACAGCUCCAGCGUCUCGUACGUUCUCUCUCACCCCUCCUUGAUCGUUCGGCCAAUGCGGGCGGGGUGCAGGGUGUUCCCCAUGGAGGCCUGCGACCUGGUCGGCGGCGAGGCGUGCGAGGCGCAGAUGUACCCGGAGACGAAGCUCGGCGCCGGUGCAGGCGCCCCGGCGGCCGCGGCGAGGGCGCCGGAGGUGGAGAGGGAGUACCUAGCCUACGACGGGCCAAAAACGGUGUUCCCGGACGAGGCGUGCGACGAUCUUGGCGGCGAGUUCUGCGAGGCGCCCUACCAAACCACCAAGUAG
rnacentral:rRNA from 1 species